rnacentral:rRNA from 1 species
AGGGCGUAUGGUGGAUGCCUUGGCAGACAGGACCGAUGAAGGACGUUUGAGGCUGCGAUAUGCCUCGGGGAGCCGCCAACAGGGCUUUGAUCCGAGGAUUUCCGAAUGGGGGAACCCACCGACCGUCAUGGGUCGGUACCGGCUUCGGCCGGGGGGUACGCAGGGAAGUGAAACAUCUCAGUACCUGCAGGAAAGGAUAUUCCGUGAGUAGUGGCGAGCGAAAGCGGAUGAUGGCCAAACCUUGCGCGUGUGAUACCCGUCGGGGGUUGCGCGCGGGGUGUUGCGGGAUCGCGUGCGCCGGCUCCGACGGGCCGGCCGGCAGUUGCAGAAAACCAUGUGUCAGGGGAACCGGGUUGAAUACCGGGCCGCAGAGGGUGAGGGCCCCGUACCUGAACGCGCAUGGUCUGCCGAUCGCGUCUCCCAAGUAGCACGGGUCCCGUGGAACCCCGUGCGAAUCCGCCCAGACCGUUGGGUAAGCCUGAAUAUUCCUGUCUGACCGAUAGCGAACGAGUACCGUGAGGGAAAGGUGAAAAGUACCCCGGGAGGGGAGUGAAACAGUCUCUGAAACCGUGCGCCUACAAUCCGUCGGAGCCCUUUUGUGGGGUGACGGCGUGCCUAUCGAAAAAUGAGUCUGCGAGUCAGUGGCAUGUGGCGAGCAUAACCCGUGUGGGGUAUGCGUAGCGAAGGCGAGUCUUAAAAGGCGUUUGAGUCGCGUGUCCUGGACCCGAAGCGGGAUGAUCUAGCCCUGAGCAGGUUGAAGCGCGGGUAAGACCGCGUGGAGGACCGAACCCACCUGGGUUGAAAACCGGGGGGAUGACUUGGGGCUAGGGGUGAAAGGCCAAUCAAAUUCCGUGAUAGCUGGUUCUCUCCGAAAUGCAUUUGGGUGCAGCGUCGGGUCAUUACGUCCCGGGGGUAGAGCUACUGGAUGCUUGCGGGCCCGUAUCGGGUACCAACAGCAACCAAACUCCGAAUACCGGUGACGCGUAUCCCGGCAGUGAGUCGGCGGGGGAUAAGCUUCGUCGUCGAAAGGGAAACAGCCCAGACCGUCGUCUAAGGUCCCGAAGCGUGUGCUAAGUGGGAAAGGAUGUGGAGUCGCAUAGACAGCCAGGAGGUUGGCUCAGAAGCAGCCACCCUUGAAAGAGUGCGUAACAGCUCACUGGUCUAGUGGUUCCGCGCCGACAAUGUAGCGGGGCUCAAGCACACCACCGAAGACGCGGCAGUAUUUUGUACUGGGUAGGAGAGCGUCCCAUGAGGGGCGAAGCGGCCGUGUGAACGCGCCGUGGACUUCAUGGGAGUGAGAAUGCAGACAUGAGUAGCGAGAGACGGGUGAAGAUCCCGUCCGCUGGAUGACCAAGGGUUCCAGGGCCACGUUCAUCGUCCCUGGGUGAGUCGGGUCCUAAGGCGAGGCCGACAGGCGUAGUCGAAUGGAUGAACGGGUCGAUAUUCCCGUACCGGCUUUCAGCCGCCAAAACCGAGGCUUGGAGUACUAACCUCCGGGUCCGGGCUUACUGCUCCUUCGGGGGCGGGAUGCCCUGGCCUGUUGGGACCGAUCCUUGUAGUAGGUCAGCGCAGGAGUGACGCAGAAGGGUAGCCGGCCGCGGAGGUGGUCUUCCGUGGUCAAGCACGCAGGGCGUGGGACAGGCAAAUCCGUCCCGCAUGGGUCCGAGGUGCGAUGAUGGGGGCCUUAUGGCCCGAUAUCCGGUGAUCCCGGCUGCCGAGAAAAGCUUCGGCGUCAGGCUCGAAGCCGCCCGUACCCCAAACCGACACUGGUGGUCAGGUAGAGAAUACCAAAGCGAUCGAGCGAAUCCUGGUCAAGGAACUCGGCAAAUCACUCCCGUUCCUUCGGUUUAAGGGAGACCCCCGAUGGUGAACACACUUGCUGUGGGAGCUUUUGGGGGUGGCACAGACCAGGGGGUAGCGACUGUUUACCAAAAACAAAGCCCCGGUAAACGGCGGUGGUAACUAUAACCAUCCUAAGGUAGCGAAAUUCCUUGUCGGGUAAGUUCCGACCUGCACGAAUGGCGUAACGACUUCCCCACUGUCUCGACCAGGAGCUCGGCGAAAUUGCAGUACGAGUAAAGAUGCUCGUUAAGCGCAGAAGGACGAAAAGACCCCGGGACCUUUACUAUACCUUGGUAUUGGCAUUCGGUGUGGAUUGUGUAGCAUAGGCGGGAGGCCGAGAGGCGCGGUCGCCAGAUCGCGCGGAGCCGUAAGGUGAAAUACCGCUCUGUUCGCAUUGGAUGUCUAACCUCGAACAGUCAUCCUGUUCAGGGACAGUGCCUGGCGGGUAGUUUAACUGGGGCGGUUGCCUCCCAAAGAGUAACGGAGGCGCCCAAAGGUCCGCUCAGCCCGGUUGGCAAUCGGGUGGCGAGUGCAAGUGCACAAGCGGGCUUGACUGCGAGGACGACGGUCCGAGCAGGGACGAAAGUCGGGACUAGUGAUCCGGUGCCGGUGUACGGACGCGGCAUCGCUCAACGGAUAAAAGGUACCCCGGGGAUAACAGGCUGAUCAUUCCCAAGAGUCCAUAUCGACGGGAUGGUUUGGCACCUCGAUGUCGGCUCGUCGCAUCCUGGGGCUGGAGCAGGUCCCAAGGGUUCGGCUGUUCGCCGAUUAAAGCGGCACGCGAGCUGGGUUCAGAACGUCGUGAGACAGUUUGGUCUCUAUCCUCUGCGCUCGUUGGAAUGCUGAGGAGGCCUGCCCAUAGUACGAGAGGACCUGGGUGGACGAACCUCUGGUAUGCCGGUUGUCACGCCAGUGGCACGGCCGGUUGGCUACGUUCGGAAGGGAUAACCGCUGAAAGCAUCUAAGCGGGAAGCCUGCUCCAAGAUAAGCAUUCCGUGGAACCUUCGAGUUCCUGUAGU